AUGCAACUGACGAGUCCCAAAUGAAACGAAACGAACGUUUUGUAU
rnacentral:hammerhead_ribozyme from 1 species